rnacentral:lncRNA from 1 species
AUCACAGGCAGGUUUGGUCACUGUUGAAGUUCUCGGACUGAUGGCUUUAGAGAGAUAUCUUCUGAGAUGCCUUCUCUCCCCAGGCUCAUUCAGUAACCUCCCCUCCAAAUCUCCCUUUGUGCUAAAAAUCUAAGACGAUGCUUUUUCCUGCAGGCGUGGCCAUGUUCAAGGGAAAGGAGAUCCUAGCUGUGCCCUUGGCUGUCCUCUGCUACUCUCAUUUAGAGACCUGCCUGGACUAAGCCCUGAGGGACAAAGCCCACGGAGAGCCAUUUCUCUUUGGAAGCCUGCAUUCUUCCCCAAGCCUACCAGCUGUAAGCAGAUGGACCUCUCUUCCCGCGGCUUCAGUAUUUGGUCAUGAAUGCAAGAGAGUAUCGGUUGAGCCGUGGCUGGUCCUCCAUACUGUCAGAUGAACCUGAGCUGGUCUGAGGCUAGCU